rnacentral:rRNA from 1 species
UACGUAGGGAGCAAGCGUUGUCCGGAAUCAUUGGGCGUAAAGCGCGCGUAGGUGGCUCCAUAAGUCCGUUGUGAAAGUCAAAGGCUACAUCCAUUGAAGCCGAUGGAUACUGUGGAGCUAGAGUACGGAAGAGGCGAGUGGAAUUCCUGGUGUAGCGGUGGAAUGCGCAGAUAUCAGGAGGAACACCAAUAGCGAAGGCAGCUCGCUGGGACGUUACUGACACUGAGGCGCGAAAGCGUGGGGAGCGAACAGG